CUUGUAGCUUAGUGGUUAGAGCAUUGGUGCGUCAAGCCGAAGGUUCCGGGUUCGAUUCCCGGCGAG
rnacentral:tRNA from 1 species